rnacentral:rRNA from 1 species
CCUACGGGGGGCAGCAGUAAGGAAUAUUGCGCAAUGGGCGAAAGCCUGACGCAGCGACGCCGCGUGGGGGAUGAAGGUCUUCGGAUUGUAAACCCCUUUCGGGAGGGAAGAUGGAAUGGGGUAACCCAUUCGGACGGUACCUCCAGAAGCAGCCACGGCUAACUUCGUGCCAGCAGCCGCGGUAAUACGAAGGUGGCAAGCGUUAUUCGGAUUUACUGGGCGUACAGGGAGCGUAGGCGGUUCGGUAAGCCCUCUGUGAAAUCUUCAGGCUUAACCUGGAAAAGUCGGAGGGGACUGCUGGGCUAGAGGACGGGAGAGGAGCGCGGAAUUCCCGGUGUAGCGGUGAAAUGCGUAGAGAUCGGGAGGAAGGCCGGUGGCGAAGGCGGCGCUCUGGAACGUUUCUGACGCUGAGGCUCGAAAGCGUGGGGAGCAAACAGGAUUAGAUACCCCAGUAGUC